AAUCGUGGAUCAGAAUGCCACGGUGAAUACGUUCCCGGGCCUUGUACACACCGCCCGUCACACCAUGGGAGUGGGUUGCAAAAGAAGUAGGUAGCUUAACCUUCGGGAGGGCGCUUACCACUUUGUGGUUCAUGACUGGGGUGAAGUCGUAACAAGGUAACCGUAGGGGAACCUGCGGUUGGAUCACCUCCUUACCUUAAAGAAGC
rnacentral:rRNA from 2 species